rnacentral:lncRNA from 1 species
AUGACUAUGUCAACCAUCCCCAUCAACUUCCCUGAGAGUGCAGUGCAGUCCUCAUCUUCUGAGCUCUCAGAUGAGCUCACCACUGCCCUCGCUGCAGGACGGUGGUGGGCAAUAAUGGAGGUCUCCUCUCCUAUAUCUGAGGAGCCUGAAUAUGGGGACCUCACCUCACUCAGGUUCCCACACUCAGGCUUCUCAGAAUCAACACUGAAUACCAAGGAACCUUGGAGGCAGAAGAAGACACAGAGUACACCCAUGCCUCCCAGGUCCUUAAAAAGAGCACCUGUGCCUGCCUUUGCUGAGAAGAGGGACCACACCUCAUUUCUGGUCUUCAACAAUGCAUCAGAGAAGGCUGAGUCUCAGCACUCAGGCUUCUCAGAUGCAAAGCUCAAGACCACGGAGCAACAGAGGAAGUGGAGACAGAAGAAGCCACAUGGUCCACCUGUGCUUGCUGGGUCUGAGAAGGCUGAGUGUGGGAACUCACUGAAGACCACUAAGCAGCUGAGACAAGAGUGGAGACAGAAUAAGCCUCAGGGACCGCCUGUGCUUGCUGGGUCUGAGAAGGCUGAGUGUGGGAAUUCAAUGAAGACCACUAAGCAGGUGAGGCAAGAGUGGAGACAGAAGAAGCCUCAGGGACCACCUGUGCCUGGUGACUCCCCCCAGGAACAUCCUGUGCCCACUCGGUCCCAACAACGUGGAAAAAUCAGGAUCCCUGAGCAUCUGAGGCUGCACCUGCUACAGGCCGCCAAUGAACUGGGAGCAACUGUGCCUGCUAGGUCCCCACAGGGACCACCAGUUCCUACAAAGUCUCUACAGAGAGAACCUGUGCCUGCCUCAAAGGUGCAAAACUUAAGUACACCUGAGCCACUAAGGCAGGAGCUACAGCAGAAGAAACCCCAAGCCUCUUCUCACAAGGGAGCACCUGUACCCAACAAGACCCCGGAGAGGCAAAGGCUAAAAAUCCCUGAGCCGCUGAGGCAGGAGCUGCUGCAGUUGUCUUACCGAGCCUCAUCAGUGAAGGGAGAACUUGUGCCCCAAAAGACUCAGGAAAAGCAGAGGCUCAAGAUGCCUGAACCGUUAAAGCAGGAGCUGCUGCAGGUGUCAUCUAGAGCCUCUACUGAAAAGGGAGCACCUGUGCCUCAAAAGAUCCAGGAGAAGCAGAGGCUCAAGAUACCUGAGCAGCUGAGGCAGGAGCUGCUGCAGCUAUCACGCCGAGCCUCAUCUGUAAAGGGUGAACUCGUGCCCCAAAAAACCCAGGAGAGGCAGAGGCUCAAGACACCUGAGCUGUUAAAGCAGGAGCUGCUUCAGGUGUCACCCAGAGCCUCUUCUGAGAAGGGAGCACCCGUGCCCAUAAAGACUGCAGAGAGGCAAAGGCUCAAAAUACCAGAGCCACUGAGGAAGGAACUGCUCCAGAAGCCUCAAGCCUCUCCUGCAGAGGGUAAACCCAUGUCUUCCAAGUCCCCAAAGGAAGCACCUUUACCUGACAGGAGCCCUGUUCAUACCGGGACCUCACAGGGAUCAGGAGUGCUCUCCAGUUCUCCACUGCCCACUGGGUGUCUGAAGGAAGCAGCAGUACCCACCAAAACCAUGAAGGCAGGAAAACGGAGGCUUGCUGAGCAACUGAGCAUGCCUAUCUCUUCCACUGAAGGACUACAUAUGCCCUGCAGGACCUCAAAAGUGGCACCUGUGAAUUCUGGGACCUUACAGGGAGCCCUUGCGACCAGAAGCUCCCCACGACUGGGAGCAAAUCCAAAAAUCACAGAGCAGCAGAAGCAGAAGCGGAGGGAGCAGUGGAGACAGCAGCAGAGACAGCGGAGGCAGCAGACGGCAUCAGACAAUAUAGAUGUGUGUGAGCCUCCACAAAAAAUACUCUGUGUGGAAAUCGACAAGGUGCCACUGAAGCCUAAACUGUGUAAGCAGAACCAUCAAGCCCCACAGCUCAUGUCCCAGCUCACCCUGAAGAUGGACAAUGUAGGUGUGAGCUGGUCACCUCCAGAAAAAAGGGAGCACAUGGCGAGCAAAAUCAGAGAUCAACAACUGGGGCCAGGCUUAAAGCAUUUAUGUAGUAUAUUCAUAUGUUUAACAGAAUAUUUAAAUAUUUAGUAUUCAUGUGUAUUGUGUUUGAACUGAUUUUAUAUGAUUGUAUGUAUAAUAAAAAAUAAAAUCUAAACAUUGAAAUUAUUUAUUUAUCAAUGACAACUCACAUCUAUUAACACUUUAAGGCAACAUAGAUUGUUUUUGGGGUGCCUGCCCCAGGCUUAUUUCCAGUGGGUAAUUUAUAUUAAGGAAAAAAAAUAAGAAUAAUAAUAAUAGGAAAAACAUAUUCUUCUUAUGAUUCUCACUGGAUUUUUUAUUUGAUAUGUAUAAUUAAAAUACAAUACACCAAAAAGUGCCUUUGUAUGAUUGGCAGCUGACAUACUUAGAGAAAAAAAAAAAAAAAAAAAAAAAUAAUAUAUAUAUGUAUACAAAUAUAUAUAAUUGUUUGUGAAAUACAUGGUUCUGAAUGAGGUUCUAAAUUUGUUUAUACAGUACUGAAUUUUGACCCUUUAAAAUACACAAUUUAAUGCAUGUUUAUCGAUUUUAAAUGUAAAAUCUGACCAGGCUUUGUGAGUAGAAAAUGCAGUGAAUCGUGAAGAUCGAGUCCACUAAAGGGCGGAACUGACCACGAUUGUUAGAGUCAGCUCUUCAGUUCAUUGUUGAAGCUACCAUAUUUACAAUAUUGUUCCCAGCUGUUUACUUUCAGCUGAUAAAACAGUUUUUAAGGCUUCAGUAAGACAAAUAGCUACAUUAAACUAAUGAACUGUUACAUAAUGUUUUCAUUAAAUGCCUUUUGUUAGAUCAAGUAUGCAUUCCAGGUCACUGCUCAGGGUGUAAUAAAAAAAAUAAUAAUACAUCAAAUAAAACAUAUAUAUAUAUAUAUAUAUAUAUUGUACAUAGAUAGAUAUUAAUGAUUGUGCUUGCUAUUCUAUUUAUAUUGUUAAAUAUGUUACAAUCAUAAUUUUAGCAAAUAUGAUGGUGCUAAAUUUUUCAAAUAGUCAAUAAUUAACCCAGACAACAUUUCAACUUUGAAACAACAUCAGAUACCAUGGUUGAAUCAACGUUGAAUUACCUUUUGAUUUUACAAACAUGAUAUUGUGACGUUGUUUAAUCGAUGAAAUUGUGGAUUCAGAAUGAAUCAAAACGUAGAUGGAGUCGAUCUACACCCCAAAGCUUGACUUAAUUAUUACCUCUUCAUCGGUCAACAUUUUGUUCCAUAACGUUACAGUUUUGAUGCUGUUUCGUGUCAGAUGAUCGAGUGUUAGAUUACAUGUGUUAGUAUGUGUUGUUUCUUUUUUCCUCUUCACUUGUUUUUUUUUUUAUUCUGUGCAGAAUAUGUGUACUAGCGCCAUCUAACGUAUAAUAAUGAUAUGUCAAUGUCAUUUUAGGUAUAUUUCUGAGGAGAACAUAAAGCCCAUUUCGGUGAAAGUACAUAAAAAGUAAACUAAAAACAUACUUUCCAAUUCUUAGUUUAAAAGAAGUAUACUUAUAGCCCUCUUUUCGUAAGGGUUGGGUUAACGUUGAAUUAGGUGUUGAUUUUGAAAAGUGAAUCAACAUUGUUUCACUGUUGUACCUUUCACCAUGUGUAAAUACAACUGUACAUUCAAUUAUAGCCUAGUUUACAUUUAGAUAAACACUGUACAUUAUAAACGUUAAAAAUCAAAUGACUGGCAGCAAUGGCUUGACAAUCAACUUCAAUAAACUACCACAUGCUCAAAAUUGUAAAACUGCAGUUUUAUUUUUGAAACAUGCUUUAUAAAACAGAUCAAAAUAAUCCCAAACUUUAUUUUCGCAGUGUUUAUGCAUGGAUGUAUUGUUAAAAACCUAUAGAAGAACAUUCAAAACACAAUAAUAUCUAAUGAGGGGAACCCCCCCCCCCCAGACUUUUUUACAACGGGGAAUGCGGAAUGUGAUUUCUACUGAAGGGGACCCUAAAAUGUUAGAACCAGCAGCCUCUUGUAUAUAGUGUGGCUGUAAUUCGGGUGAUCCUUGAAAGUGUCCCAGCUCGAGGUCCUUUCUGAUGCCAUCCCCUCCACUCUCUCCCCCUUGUGCCCUUUUUGUACUGUUCUGUACUGUCCUGUAUCGACAAAAACACCAAAAAUAAAUCCUCAUAAAAUAUCAACUUUCAUAUUGUCAAAUAUUUUUAACUGAAAGCAAAACAAAUCACACAAUAUUUUCACUUACAGUUCAAUAAAAAGUGGGGUUGGAAAGAAAGUGCAAAACAAUAUUUAUUAAACACUUAUUUAAUGUAUUCAGAUGAAAGUUUACAAUAUUACAUUAUUCACAAGCAGUGUUUUCAGAGCUGUACUGUUCUGUACACAGACAUACACGUUAUGUUAAAUAGCUUUAAUUACUAAUUUUAUUCUCAAAAGCUGAAAACAAAGUCUGGAGGUAAUGUUUAAAAUAUACUUUGUUUAUGCUGUAUCUAUUAUAUAAUAAUUCCUGUAAAAGUUAUGGUGUGAAAUAGAAUGCAUUAUUAUGAUUUAAGAAUUAAAAUUGUCACUAUUAAUGUUAGGGGAUCCUGCAGUCUCAAGUCAAGUCAAGUCACCUUUAUUUAUACGGCGCUUUAAACAAAAUACAUUGCGUCAAAGCAACUGAAAAACAUUAAUUAGUAAAACAGUGUCAAUAAUAUAAAAUGACAGUUAAAGGCAGUUCAUCAUUGAAUUCAGUGAUGUCAUCUCUGUUCUGUUUAAACUGUAUCUGUGCAUUUAUUUGCAAUCAAGUCAAUAUCACUGUAAAUGAAGCGACCCCAACUAAGCAAGCCAGAGGCGGGAGCGGCAAGGAACCAAAACUCCAUCGCUGACAGAAUGGAGAAAAAAACCUUGGGAGAAACCAGGCUCAGUUGGGGGGCCAGUUCUUCUCUGACCAGUCGAAACCAGCAGUUCAAUUCCAGGCUGCAGCAAAGUCAGAUUGUGCAGAAGAAUCAUCUGUUUUUUGUUUUGAUUUUGGUCUUGUAACAGACUAAUAUUAGCAUAGAUGCCAUUCCUCUAAUGAUGUAGCAAGUACAUCGGGUGUUAUGGGAAGUGUUAAUUUUCCGGUUUACCUAAUUAAUGCAGCCUAAAAAUCCUUUAAAGAGGGGGGGGGGGGGGGGUGAGAUGCUUGUUUACACUCAAUAUCCUGUUAAUCUUGAGUACCUAUUGAGAAUGAGAAGUUGUCGUCAUAGCACAAAGCCCCUCCCUCGAUAUCACGGUCUCCGCCAUGUUGGAAGGAUACCGGCGGUGAAACAGGAUUGUUUACAUGCGUUGUUAAGAGGAGGUUCUCGCAAUUCUGCACUGUUUUUCCAUGCCUGGAAGUUACUGCUGGGUUAAAAACUGCUGCAGUACCUCACACGAUACAUAUGGAAAACAUAGGAACUGUAGCUCUUUCCACAACAACAGACACAGGUUGGUUCUUUAAAACGGGCGUUUAUUCUUAUCGUCGUCUUCUUUAUCUUUCGUGCCUUUUACGUCUUAACGCCACAACGCCGUGAGAACUGUAUACAAGUGAAACAGUACAAAUACAUCAAACACAAAAUGGCGCUUAGCGCUGAACACCUUUGUUACAUUUUACAAACAAAUACCUCGUUGGCCGCUUGUCAUGAAAAGAGGUCUUUGAGCUUAUGAAAAACUUCUUUACUGUCCUUUUGGCUUGUGACAGCACUGAUUUUAAACUUAAACGUCUUUUAACUCAGCAGAGCCUUGUGAUGCGUCUGCUCAUCAUCAGUCCAUCGGGCGACUAACCAGCACGUCAUUUCCGUUAAAGUGACACAUCCUCGCGCCUUAUGUUUUAAAGUACACCAAAUGAAUCUACAUCACAUUACAACUCAUUUACAUUUUAAAUUAGAGCUGAAACAACGAAUCGAUUUAAUCGAUUAAAAUCGAUUAUUAAAAUAGUUGUCAACUAAUUUAGUAAUCGAUUCGUCGCUAAAUAAAUUUUAUUUGCCAUAAGCGGCUCAUUUCGUGCAUACUUCAAAUCUGCGGUGACCAAAGUGUGGCAGUAAUGAGCCACCGGAGGUUUUACUCAGCCAGUACAGCAGGUGAAGUAGCUAAUAGCCAAUAGCUGGCCUCGUUUUAUGUCACAUGCUUCCCGAACAGCGUCUCUGCAGCAUUCAGCGGGAAGUGGGAGUACUUUACUUUGAGCCUUUAAAAUGAAGAGUAACCUGUAAACUCUGCACUACUGAACUGUUUAAGGGGCCGUUCACAUAAUCGUGUCUUUUGCGUGCUCAAGUUCGUUAU